GCCGGCUUAGCUCAGCUGGUAGAGCAGCGGUUUUGUAAACCGAAGGUCGGGGGUUCGAUUCCCUCAGCCGGCACCA
rnacentral:tRNA from 2 species